rnacentral:rRNA from 1 species
UUGACCUCGAAUCAGGCGGGACUACCCGCUGAACUUAAGCAUAUCAAUAAGCGGG